AGAAUCAACGCUGGCGGCGUGCCUAACACAUGCAAGUCGAACGAGAAAGUGGAGCAAUCCAUGAGUAAAGUGGCGCACGGGUGAGUAACACGUGACUAACCUACCCUUGAGUGGGGGAUAACCUCAGGAAACCGGGGCUAAUACCGCAUAAUAUCGAGAGAUCAAAGGAGCAAUUCGCUUAAGGAGGGGGUCGCGGCUGAUUAGCUAGUUGGUGAGGUAAUGGCUCACCAAGGCUAUGAUCAGUAUCCGGCCUGAGAGGGCGCACGGACACACUGGAACUGAAACACGGUCCAGACUCCUACGGGAGGCAGCAGUGGGGAAUUUUGCGCAAUGGGGGAAACCCUGACGCAGCAACGCCGCGUGGAGGAUGAAGUCCCUUGGGACGUAAACUCCUUUCGAUCGGGACGAUAAUGACGGUACCGGAAGAAGAAGCCCGGCUAACUUCGCGCCAGCAGCCGC
rnacentral:rRNA from 1 species